GGAGCCGGCUUGCAGGGAGGUCGCAAGCAAGCAAGCAAGGAGGCAGGCAGGCAGGCAGGCAGAGUGGCCCCCCACAGCUCUCUGCAGCAGACCCUCUGCCCAGCCCAGCCCAGCCCAGCAUUUGCCAGGUAAUGGUGAAAAGUCUCCUUGUAGUUCUCUUGCCCGUUUGUGUAUUUUGAAACAACGGCACUGAACAAGGCUUUAUUUUGGCUGAGAUGCAUCUGGCAAUUCAUCAGGACAGCAACUCCAGAAUUGGAACAGGAGUGCACCAUUGGAUUCUUUAUGGAAUUGACUGAUACCAGGAUAUCUGAUUAUGUCCUAGGCAUGGACUAACUAUUGGUGGAACUGUGAAGUAUACAUAUUUACACUUUUUAUUUUGUGGUGAUUUUUUGCAUCAUCAUUAUUCAGUUGUCUGUUUCUCAACUGAUGCCAGAUGAGUGAGCAGUGUGGAACUUAGUCCCUUUUGUAAUCAACUGUAUGAUUGUUUGUCUUUUCAGAGAGAGAUAUCUCAGCUCUCCUUUAGGGCUGAAAGCAGCAAAAUUAAACUUUAGAACAGCUAAAGAUCAGACUCAUCAUGGUAGGUAAGAAAUUGUGCCAUUAGAUUAAAGGGUCAUGGUAGUGCCUCUCUAGCUGAGGUGAGUGGCAAAAAAAAAAUAAUAAAAAGAUUCAGCAGGGCUGGUCUUGUAUUCUGAAGAUCGAAAGUAUCACUCUGUUAGAUGUGACUAUGCUUGGCAUUCGGAGUCUGUCCUAGAAUGUGACUGAUGUCUCCCCAUAUGGACCCCUGACUCUUCUUUCUUGUCUAUGGGGGUCUUUGCUUGCCUUCUGCCAGUUUGCUGUAGGAUCUGCAACAUGAUAAAUACAAACAUUUCCAUUAGAUGUGGCUAUACCUGCCAUUAGUGUGAAGUAUAGGACCUGUACAAGUGAUCUCUUAAUCAGGAAUAAGAGAGACAUUGCCAACAAUGGGGGAUGCCUACAUAUGUUAUUUAAUUGCUGGAUGCACUGUUACUUCAAGAAACUCUGGAUAUUUUGUUUAUUUAAUAAAUUUAUAUGCCAACUA